rnacentral:misc_RNA from 1 species
GUUGGCCAUUUAGGACCAUCAUUCUCCUCAUUUAUGAUCAUGGGAAUGGGGUAUCCGGGCCCUCAUUGAUGGUACAGAUAAUUACAUCUUAAGAAAACACAUGGCUGGUUUAAUGAAUGUUGUGACACUCCAAUUACUAUCUAGCUCACAAACAAUUAUGAUUGGACAUUUUAAUCUUGCAGAACUUGAAAUCAUUUCAAAUAUAAAGCAGGCAAAACUUCCUUACAGCAGCAACUCAUUUUACACAUGAUAUUAUACAACUCAUUAAGAGGGAGAGGAAAAGGAAAGAAUAACGCCAAAGUUAUUUAAGGGCAACAGAUGGUAUCCGACUUGUGAAGUUGGCAUUAGCAGGAGAUAAUUGUGAACCACAACUAGAUACUCCCAUACUAUCAUCAGAACAUUUACCACUCAUAGAUAUAUCAUUGCCAGAAUCUAUCCGAAUCCCAUGGUAAGACUCUCCAGAAAUCAGUGCUUGUAACAAUUUUGGUGCCGGAGGAGAGUGCACUUCCACUACCCCCUCUAGCAUAUUCACUACCAUCCCCAUUGCAGGCCUCAUGUCUUCAUUAUCCUGUAUGCACCAAAUUGCCACCAACGCAACACGCUUAGCCUCCUCAAUUUUAUAUGCACUGCCAAGCCUAUAAUCUACCACUGCUGCUACAUUGCCUUCAAUAAUUUGUUGUGCAGCAUAUGGAGGGAAAAACCAUAUCUCCCCCUUUUUGCCCUCUUCACCACCAUUACCACCACCUGCAGAUGCUGGUGCCUCUACAUUUCUGCGACCUGCAAGCAAUUCAAAUAAUGUCAUUCCAUAACUAUAAACAUCUGCUUUUGGAGUAAUUGCCACUCCAGAUAUCCACUCUGGUGCGACAUAGCCCCAAGUGCCCCUCAUGGUAGCUAAAACUCGACUGAAGUCACGACCAACAAGCUUUGCUAGGCCAAAAUCGGAUACCUUGGCAGUGUAAUCACCAUCCAGAAGGAUGUUGUCUGGUUUGAUAUCACAAUGGAUGAUGCAAUCUCUACAUUCCUCAUGUAAAUAUGCAAUGCCUCUAGCAGUCCCAAUGGCUACUCGAAAUCUAACUUCCCAGCUCAAACUGGGACCACCUUGGCGCAAAUAAACACUCAAAGGACCAUUUGGCAUGUAAUCAUAAACUAGAAGCCUAUGAGACUUCUCUGAGCAAAACCCUCUAAGCCUCACAAGAUUAACAUGUUGAAUGUUCCCAAUGGUACAUACCUCUGCCUUGAACUCUCUCUCUCCACUCCCUGGCCUUUCAAGGCGUUUCACAGCAACAAGGGUAGAAUCUAAUAACUCACCUUGAAACACUGCACCAAAUCCACCGUGUCCAAGUUUAUCUGAGAAACCCCUAGUUGCUGCAUACAGCUCUUUGUAAGAAAAUACCUUCAAAUUCAACACCAGAAAGCCCCCAUCUUCCCUUCUCCCCUUGCUCCUCCUCCUCAUCUGCAGAGUCAGCAAAACUCCUAUUGCCAACACAAAAAUGGCAAUAGACCCAAGAAUGAUAACAAUCAAAAGCACAGACUUGGACUCAUUCUUCUUUACCGUUCCUUGUUCUGGAACCCUAACAAACAGCACAUCUUGAUAUGCACUAUUAGAGCCCAGAUUUCUCAAAUUCAAUAGAGUCCCAUAUAAAUUCUUGCAUAAAUUAGUCCUCUCGUCAUGGAGCAAACCGAUACAAGAACAAUUACCCAAACAAGAUCUCUCGCAAAAGCUUAUACUACCCGAAAACGAAAUCAAAACUGCUCCCUCGUACUCCAUGACACCAACCUCCAUGAACCCAUCAGUCUCGUUACAGGAAUUCCCAUUCUCCCUGACACAACCGCCAGAAUAAUCCCCAAAUUCCCAAUCGUAAUCACUAACAGGCCUAAAGCCUGGAAGGCAAGAACAAGGCUUUGGCGAUGUGGAACUGCUUUCACAAAAUCCCAAAUCCCCGCAUAAUCGAUCAACUUUACACCAAUUAUCCGGCUGUGACCAGAACUUGCUCCAAUUCUCCGUCUGCGGCGACCACGUAUAUUGUUUGAACCGCCCAUCGACAUCUACCUGAAAUCGAGUCAACGGCGGGCUCAGCGCUCUAUCUUUUGCUAUUUCCGUGUACCAAAAUGACGCAGCAGGGGUAAAAGGAUUGGCGAAGUGGAAUUUGUAUAUGUACUCUAUUGUCAUUUCGGGUACACGGGCGAAUUUCGCACCGGUCCAGUUACCUGUGCUCCAAUAACUGACACUUUUGUUAUGUACGAGCUCAAUUUCAUUGUACUCUCGUGGGUUUAGCCUGAGAGAGUAUAAUCCAGGCGAUGGGUCGGCUAAGCUCCGCCAAGAGGUUAAUGAUUGCUCCUUGGUAAUGUUCAUGCCCGGUAACCACGUGUCCGUCGGAUAAUUGAAGCUUUGCCACAAUGUUGCCCCUGUAGCUGAUAAUAGAACCAGAUUUCCAUUGUCUAGAAAGCGAAAAUCUGUUGCACGUUCAUUGUUUGUACUCUGCCAAAUGACAGAAUUUGGCGACUCCAUUAUUGCCAAUUUGCCAGUUUCGGUGAUUUGUAGUGUGCAAGACGCAGGUUUGGUGAUGGGUGUUUCUCGGUUGGCUACCCAGACAUAAGUUGGAGUCGGGAUUGAAGAGUACCAAAUGCCUAGAUACCACUUAGAGCUUUCAUGUGGGCUAAAAAAGCCAAGCUGGAAGGUAUUGUUUUCGCUAUGAAUUGUGAUGUUUCCGCUGAUUAUAACAUUGGCCAAUUCCAAUUUCUUGCUGAUCCUUCGCCUGGUGUAGUUUGCUAAUAAAUUCAGCGGCUUUUGGGUGGUGAAUGCAAAAUUUGAGGAAACUGCAAAUCUGUUGCUAGGACUUUGGGUAAUUCUGGGGGCGGACAACCUUUCAUUUGCUCCAAAUUUGUCAACAAAAGAAGCAUCGGAGGUUGUUACCAGAAAAAAGAAGAAAAUAUAAACAGAAAUCAUGGAAGAAGCAGUGGCAGUGAAGGAGGGUAUUGACAUUCCAAUGGUAAGCUUAAUCAGAAAGUUUUCAGUUUCAUUUGGCGGGAGGACGAGGGAAAUAAAGAAAAUAAAAAGGGAAUCUUUCGUCUACGAGAGGACAUGACGGAAUCAGUAGAUGGUUCACUGAGCUGCGAUUCACUUUCCAAUGUACCUUUUUAAGAGUCAGAAUAUGGAGAUAUUUGCACUAGCGGCCCUUGGAGGACACUAACACGAACAAAAAGUUAUACCAAUAUUACGAAAAUAGCCUCUAAAGCAUUGUCCUAAUUGGCGAGACUUAAUUGCUUUUAAAUUACAAGAUCGCAAUCGCAUCAUCAUUAUGAGUUGUAAAAAUUUAAUCAGACAAUGUAUUAUUAAGCUUAAUACCAUUAGCAUUAAG